rnacentral:sRNA from 1 species
CGGGGUUGAUUCGUCCCCCGCAGCGUGAUCGGUGGGCAUAGAGAAAUCAAAAACCGGGCUAAAAGGGUCGGAUGGCGAAGC